CGCGGGGUGGAGCAGUCUGGUAGCUCGUCGGGCUCAUAACCCGUAGGUCACGGGUUCAAAUCCCGUCCCCGCCACCA
rnacentral:tRNA from 2 species